UCCGAAGAAGAGUUCAAGGUCCCGCAAAAACAUUACAUCAAAGAGAAUUCGGAUUACCUGUAACCUGAAGAACAUGUGGAAACGCUGGCCAAAACAAAGAAACACAAGCAUCAGCGACUGGAUAUUUUUUAGGAAGGGCUGUUACACAUCCCUUUGCAAAACACUUUCAAUUGAACACAGAUGUUGCUCAGAUGGAUGCAAUCAGCCACAUUUGCAGCUCCUCCGAGGAAUACGGAUGUACACAACUUCUGUGUUUCUGGACCUUCUGUACCCGGCCGAAUGAAGAAAAUAAAGAAUGAAGUUUUA